UGGGGAAUCUUGGACAAUGGGCGCAAGCCUGAUCCAGCCAUGCCGCGUGAGUGAAGAAGGCCUUAGGGUUGUAAAACUCUUUCGCCGGGGAAGAUAAUGACGGUACCCGGAGAAGAAGCUCCGGCUAACUUCGUGCCAGCAGCCGCGGUAAUACGAAGGGAGCUAGCGUUAAUCGGAAUUAUUGGGCGUAAAGGGUGCGUAGGUUGUUUGAUAAGAUAUAUGUGAAAUACCUGGGCUCAACCUGGGAAGGUCAUAUAAGACUGUCAGACUCGAGUAUGGGAGAGGGUAGAGGAAUUUCCGGUGUAGCGGUGAAAUGCGUAGAUAUCGGAAGGAACAUCGGUGGCGAAGGCGUCUACCUGGCCUAAUACUGACACUGAGGCACGAAAGCGUGGGGAGCAAACAGGAUUAGAUACCCCCGUAGUCCCUGAGCGGGCUGGCAAGGCGCAU
rnacentral:rRNA from 1 species